GAGUUCUGCAGUCCGAGGAUCCUUAAUGAAAGGAAAUUGCUUCUGCCUUAGUGGAGAGGAAAGUAAAAGCUUUUGGGUCUAGCAUCAUCUCACAGCAAGAAUUCAGAAAUCCUCCUUCAGCAUCUCUUAAUUGAGCCUUUAGAGUUUCCUCCUGAAGUGCUUACCUGGAAGAGUUAAAUUAAUCACCAAGUCCUUGUGCUGUAGCUGCUCUCCUGUUGUUUUUCUUGUGCUGGGAGAUGAUUAGUUGCCUGGACAAGCUUGGCAUCUUGAAAUCUGAAACUGUCUCUUGGCAUUUUUUAAUGCUUCAAAAUCUUGGUUAACAUUUAGUGUGUAGUAUUAAAUAUUACUAUACCCUGGUGUUCUAAAAAUUGAUAAACUCGUUAAGAGAAAUGCAGGGCCAGUGAGCUUUUGAAUAAUGGUUUCUCAGGAACAUGAAAUAUAAUUUUAUAUAUAGUGGAGACUGUUUUUCACAUAGCAAAACUGACUGUGGAUGAUUUGGUUGACAUACCUGUUUAACUGUAACUCUCUGCUAGUAAUUCAUCUUCAUGGGAGCUGGAGUUAAAAAUUGUUUAAGAUUUUAAUUAAGUGGCUUUUAACUGGCCCAAAGGGCAAAGCUACACUCUGAAUGUUUGCUUAAAGAAUAUACAUCCUCCUCGCUUUCAUAAUUAAGAAGUUCUGGAAAGCAACAGUUAGAAAUACACUGGUGAAUUUUUCCUUUUAUAUAUCUAUUUGUUAUUUGUUCCUAUGCAUCAUACUAAAACUCAAUGCAACAAGUAGUAAAUUAGCUGUUUCUGACCAAGGUUAUUUCUUCCUCCAAAUAUUGAAUAAGCUUCUUCUAUAGUUAAAUUUGAAUGUUAAGAAGUUGGCUAUGAAAUAUUUGCCCACUAUUACCAGCACUGCACCAAUAUCUUUGGGGUUUGCGGUUUUUAAAGUUAGUUUUUGUCUCAAACUUGCUUUCCUUUUUUAGAGAGGUGAGCUGAAUAUCCAGUUAGGUCC